rnacentral:lncRNA from 1 species
AAGUGCCCGAGACCUAUUGAGGCCCACUAUACUCUCCAAGAAGUCAAAGAAGGGAUUUGCAAAAAUUACUUGGGGAACAAAUCGCUGGCCUACAAAAUUCUACAAAUAGGGAUACUACUGAUCCACCAUGAAGAAAGAUGUAGCUGAGUUUGUUCGAAGAUGCGAGGCAUAUCAAAAGUAUGCCAAUCUGCAGUAUCAACCGGCC